rfam:Myotis brandtii contig261872, whole genome shotgun sequence.
UGUGGUUCUUGGAUGACGCACCCAGAACUGGACUCCUUCCUCUCUGGUUCCGGGUGCAUCACCCAAGAACUGAA